rnacentral:RNase_P_RNA from 1 species
GAAGCUGACCAGACAGUCGCCGCUUCGUCGUCGUCCUCCUUCGGGGGGAGACGGGCGGAGGGGAGGAAAGUCCGGGCUCCAUAGGGCAAGGUGCCAGGUAACGCCUGGGGGGUGUCACAGCCCACGACCAGUACAACAGAGAGCAAACCGCCGAUGGCCCGCGCAAGCGGGAUCAGGUAAGGGUGAAAGGGUGCGGUAAGAGCGCACCGCGCGGCUGGUAACAGUCCGCGGCACGGUAAACUCCACCCGGAGCAAGGCCAAAUAGGGGUUCAUAAGGUACGGCCCGUACUGAACCCGGGUAGGCUGCUUGAGCCAGUGAGCGAUUGCUGGCCUAGAUGAAUGACUGUCCACGACAGAACCCGGCUUAUCGGUCAGUUUCACCU